rnacentral:rRNA from 1 species
UACGGGGGGAGCAAGCGUUGUUCGGAUUUACUGGGCGUAAAGGGCGCGUAGGCGGUCAGCACAAGUCAAUUGUGAAAUCUCCGAGCUUAACUCGGAACGGUCAACUGAUACUGUGCGGCUAGAGUGCGGAAGGGGCAACUGGAAUUCUUGGUGUAGCGGUGAAAUGCGUAGAUAUCAAGAGGAACACCUGCGGCGAAGGCGGGUUGCUGGGCCGACACCGACGCUGAUGCGCGAAAGCCAGGGGAGCGAACGGG